rnacentral:rRNA from 1 species
UACGUAGGGUGCAAGCGUUGUCCGGAAUUAUUGGGCGUAAAGAGCUCGUAGGCGGUCUGUCGCGUCGGAUGUGAAAACCCAGGGCUCAACCCUGGGCCUGCAUUCGAUACGGGCAGACUAGAGUUCGGUAGGGGAGACUGGAAUUCCUGGCGUAGCGGUGAAAUGCGCAGAUAUCAGGAAGAACACCCGUGGCGAAGGCGGCUCUCUGGGACGGUACUGACGCUGAGACGCGAAAGCGUGGGGAGCGAACAGG